rnacentral:misc_RNA from 1 species
GGCAGCCGCGGUAAUUCCAGCUCCAAUAGCGUAUAUUAAAGUUGUUGCAGUUAAAAGCUCGUAGUUGAACUUCGGGGUCUACCCAUUGGUCAGGCCUAAUUGUCUGCACUGGUGAGAUGGAUCUCUACCUUCUGAGGAACUUUCAUGCCAUUUAUUUGGUGUGAUUGGAAAUCAGGACUGUUACUUUGAAAAAUUGAGUGUUUAAAGCAGACUAUCGUCUGAAUACAUUAGCAUGGAAUAAUGAAAUAGGACGGACUGAUUCUAUUUCGUUGGUUUCUAGGAUCACCGUAAUGAUUAAUAGGGAUAGUUGGGGGCAUUAGU